rnacentral:rRNA from 1 species
AACGAUGAAGCCCUGCUUGCAGGGUGGAUUAGUGGCGAACGGGUGAGUAACACGUGAGUAACCUGCCCCCGACUCUGGGAUAAGCCCGGGAAACUGGGUCUAAUACCGGAUAUGACUUCCUACUGCAUGGUGGGUUGUUGAAAGAUUUAUCGGUGGGGGAUGGACUCGCGGCCUAUCAGCUUGUUGGUGAGGUAAUGGCUCACCAAGGCGACGACGGGUAGCCGGCCUGAGAGGGUGACCGGCCACACUGGGACUGAGACACGGCCCAGACUCCUACGGGAGGCAGCAGUGGGGAAUAUUGCACAAUGGGCGGAAGCCUGAUGCAGCGACGCCGCGUGAGGGAUGACGGCCUUCGGGUUGUAAACCUCUUUCAGUAGGGAAGAAGCGAAAGUGACGGUACCUGCAGAAGAAGCGCCGGCUAACUACGUGCCAGCAGCCGCGGUAAUACGUAGGGCGCAAGCGUUAUCCGGAUUUAUUGGGCGUAAAGAGCUCGUAGGCGGUUUGUCGCGUCUGCCGUGAAAGUCCGAGGCUCAACCUCGGAUCUGCGGUGGGUACGGGCAGACUAGAGUGAUGUAGGGGAGACUGGAAUUCCUGGUGUAGCGGUGAAAUGCGCAGAUAUCAGGAGGAACACCGAUGGCGAAGGCAGGUCUCUGGGCAUUUACUGACGCUGAGGAGCGAAAGCAUGGGGAGCGAACAGGAUUAGAUACCCUGGUAGUCCAUGCCGUAAACGUUGGGCACUAGGUGUGGGGGACAUUCCACGUUUUCCGCGCCGUAGCUAACGCAUUAAGUGCCCCGCCUGGGGAGUACGGCCGCAAGGCUAAAACUCAAAGGAAUUGACGGGGGCCCGCACAAGCGGCGGAGCAUGCGGAUUAAUUCGAUGCAACGCGAAGAACCUUACCAAGGCUUGACAUGUGCCAGACCGCUCCAGAGAUGGGGUUUCCCUUCGGGGCUGGUUCACAGGUGGUGCAUGGUUGUCGUCAGCUCGUGUCGUGAGAUGUUGGGUUAAGUCCCGCAACGAGCGCAACCC